UUUUUUUUUUUUUUUUUUUUCCAGGGCUGCAUGCUCAGCAUAUGGAAACUCCCAGGCUAGGGGUGGAAUCACAGCUGCAGCUGCCGGCCUACACCACAGCUCACAGCAAUGUCAGAUCCUUAACCCACUGAGCGAGCCAGGGAUCAAAUCCGCAUCCUCAUAGACACUAGUUGGAUUCAUUUCCACUGCGCCAUAACAGGAACUCCUGGAGUCUCAAUUUUCUCAGCCAGAAAAAUCACAACAGCAGUAUCUCCAUUGCAGGAUGCCUACGAGCAUUAUAUGAAAUCAGAUACAAAAAGUCCCUGGUAAAUGCUUGUUUGUAUUCGAAUACUCACAAAUGAACAACCUAAGGCAAAAUUAACUUUGAAAGAACUCCAAAAAGAGCCUUUCCACAUGACAUGAUGCACAAGUAUGUCCACAUGUAAAAAUGUACAUUAAAGGUCUGCUUGUUCUAUUGUAUAUAUGAAAUACACCUCGAUCUUAAAAGUUACAGGAGAAGUAGUACCUGGCUAGAGACACCCAUGAAGGUUUAUUAACAACGAUGUUGACAGAACCAGUCUGUAUUCUAGCAAAAAACAGAAACAAACAGCCUGCAGGAGGUGAACAAUGAAAUAAAUUCAGGUACUUCCAUGUGGGAGAAUACUGUUUGUCUAUUGAAAUUAUGUUUUCGGAGAGGUUUUAAUGCCAUGAGAACAUGCUCAAAAUGAAAUGGAAAGUGGGAAGAAAACAGGAUAUGAAAACUGUGUGUAGAAGAGAAUUCCAGUUGAUAGCUCAUAUCCGCAGAGACCACGACUAGACAAAUCUGAUGAAGGUGUCACCAGCUGUCAUCCCUGGGGGACAACUGUGGGUGGUAUUUAUUUUUCCUUUAUACUUUUCUGUAUUUUCUAGACUAUCUAAAAUGAAUAUAUAGUACUCUAAGAGUCAGAGAAAAAAAACACAUAAGAGAUAAAUGCCUACCGUAGAGCACUUAGAAGAAGUGGUGAUAUUAUGGAAAUGAGGUUUCCACCGAGGUACCGCACUCCAGAAAGUGUCAUGUGUGGGGGUUGCUGGAGAAGAGAAAAACUUUGCGCAUCUCAUCACCAAAGAAAAUAGAGCCUUUGACUCCAACCCCAGGCAGAAAAGCCAGAAACUGGGUUACAGGAUGAUCAAAAAAUGAUUGGCUGAAAGCCCAAGGCAUCACGUAAUUAAGCAUUCUGAUUGGGAAAUUAGGGAUAACAGGGAAGAGAAAAACCUUCAGGAUUAUUGUGGUAUUUCAAUCCUUAAGACACUAGAGAAGUUUCCCAGUGAGAAAAACCUUGUUUCUAAACAGUCUUUUUUACAUGAUCCAGAGACUCAUUCAGGGAUCGCCUUAUUGUUUUAUUAUCAUUAUUACCAUUAUCAUACAAUUCUGUAAAAGGGCAAAUUGUCUAAAAUGUGAGGAUGGCUUUCCAGUUUUUAAUUUAAAAGACGAGAAACUGUGAGUUUAUCUCCAAAGAAAAAGAAUAUUAAGUCUCCGCAGCCAGGAGUACUUUCACUGUGUGGGAUUUUUUAUGCUCACAUCCUUCCUCUUGAAAAAAAUCUAAACUGGAAGAUCAUCUUUGAUUUUUGGUCUUUAUCUCUACAUGUCUAAUGAUCCUGAAAGGAUAACAUGAAAGGAGGCCACAAAGUGAAUUACCUUUUAUCCCAGCAAGCCCGCCAUGUGACACUGGGGGGAGGGGCUAUUUAAUGAUUGAGGUGGAGUGGUUGUGGGGAGAGGGUGGAUUAGGAGACCCACAGCCACUGCCAUGGAAGGGACAUCCCGGUCUGUGACCCAUGGGACAAAGCUUGGCACAGAGCCCUAGGCCACCCCUGCCCACCAGCUCUCCCCCAGGUUGCAGCUGGUGCUCUGCCCACCCUGCCACCACCCAGACAUCAGGCAGACUGACACCUGGCCAGGGGCCACCGUGGGCGUGAGAGUACAUUGCAUACAGCCUUAGGAAAAGGACAGGGGUCUCCAGGUGAGGGUGGGAACAUGAGCACAGCAGGGCAAAAAGGCAAGGGGAGCACCUCAAAACUCCAAGGACAGGGCAGGAAAGGGACCCUGGUAAAAAGGGCCAGCUGAGUUUCUAGAGGGUACCUGACAGGUGACAACAGAGUAUGGGUUUUAGCCAAAGACUUUUGAUCAUUUUACAAUUAACAAGUUGGACUGGGGUAUUUAUUCCCUUGUCAGUAAUAUCUCAGUAAAGCUGGAAAAAAUAGGGAGACCCGCCCCCAAAGAAAAUAAGCAUCUUUAAAAUCAGGAUCUGAAGACUGUGUGUAGAGAAGAAGGAAGAGGAUUUCAAGGUAAGAUCUUUAAGUUAGGAGGAAGGCUGGCUCAUUCAAAGAAAUGGGAGAAGGUGGGCAGGGGCCCAACUGUGCAAGGUUCUGGGAGUGGUGGAAAGGAUUUUAGUCUUCCUUUCAAAGGUAAAGGAAAGCUUUGAAGAGACUGUUGGCUCAAUUCUCCCAAGAACAUUUUGUAACUCGUAGCAUCCUAGAUGCACUGAAGAACAGUUAAUUCAUCAUCACAUCAUAGAUGCCUUCGGGGCUAACACUUUCAAGGAAGUGACUGAGAAAGAUUAGUUCAGAGUGUAUUUCAGUAAACUCCUUUUGUUAUUUUAGGAACUGUAUCCCUCAUUCAGGGGGUAGAAGGCUGAAUCUGCCUUAAUGCAAAGCUCUACUGUUCUUCCGGGGUGGGGGCAGGGGAGGCAGAAUAGCCUAGUGGUCACAGAGACUUGGGUUGAAAACCCAACUUUGUCAUUAUCUUGACCUUGGCAAGCCACUUAACCUUUAUAUACGUCUCAGCUACUGCAACACUUACAUCACUACUUCUUCCAACAAACGCCAAGAGAUAACUCAUAAGGAGUUUGGCAUGUGUUUAUCUUUUGACAGAACAUGUACUACUAUAUUACUAGUAUCAAAAAGCAUCUGAGGAAGGACUUCCUAUGUCCUGUGAGCCAGAACUACACUUCUACCUUCCACAGUGGUUGAGAAGCUACUUCAUUAAAACAUAUCUUUAGUUCUUAGCCUUUACUCUAGACUGAGUUACCGUCUCCAGUAAGCGAAAAUAGUUUGGGAUAUUUUUUCCCAAGGGACUGGUGUUGGUCAGUUUUCCGGGCAUGCUGGAUGAGGGAGGGAUGAUGAAAUCUCCAAGUUGGGGCUCAACUGUGGGCAACACAAGGCAGGAGUCUCUCUUGGGGUUUUCUGGGAGGCAGUCUUACAGGCAGGUGCUAUACAGCGUGACCAGGGAAAGCCCCUCCUUGCUGGGUUUGAUGGGCUCUGAACCACCAGUUACCUCUUAGAAAGUGGCAAUACUCCGUUUUUAAAAAGUUGAAAUAAUUGAUUAACAGUGUCGUGUAAAUUUCUGCUGUACAGCAAAGUGAUUCAGUUAUACAUAUAUAUAUACAUAUAUAUAUAUAUAUAUACACACAUUCUUUUUAAAAAUUCUUUUCCAUUAUGAUUUAUCACAGGGGACUGAAUAUAGUUCCAAGUGCUAUACAUAGGAUUUUGUUAUUUAUCCAUUCUAUAUAUAGUAGUUUGCAUCUGCUAACCCCAGAACUCCCAGUCCAUCCUACUCCCACCCACUCCACUUUGGCAACCACAAGCCUGUUUUCUAUGUCUGUGAGUCUGUUUCUGUUUCAUAGAUAAGUUCAUUUGUGUCAUAUUUCAGAUCCCACAUAUAAGUGAGAUCAUAUGAUAUUUGUCUUCUCUUUUUGACUUACUUCACUUAGUAUGAUAAUCUUUAGUUCUACCCAUGUUGCUGCCAAUGGCAUUAUUUUCGUUCUUUUUUGUGGCUGAGUAAUAUUCUAUUGUAUAUAUGCACACGCUCUUCACCCAUUCAUCUGUCCAUGGACAUUUAGGUUAUUUCCAUGACUUGGAUAUUGUAAACAGUGCUGCUAUGAAUAUAAGGGUCCAUGUAUCUUUUUGAAUUAUAGUUUUGUCUGGAUAUAUGCCCAGGAGAGGGAUUUCUGGAUCAUAUGGAAGCACUGUUUUUAGUUUUUUGAGAAAUAUCCAUAUUGUUUUCCAUAGUGGAUGCAUCAAUUCACAUUCCCACCAACAGUGUAGGAGGGUUCCUUUUUUUCCACACCCACUCCAGCAUUUGCUAUUUAUAGACUUCUUAAUCAUGGCCAUUCCGACCUGACCAAUACUAUUUUAAGGGUAACCUGAAAAGUGGCAGAAAUCAGACAGACAUUAUUCUCUCCAUGGACCAAGCCACAAUACAUCUCUACCCAUUUUAGUCAAGAAAGACAGGAAAACCAGUCUCAGAUAUGUCCCAAGCAUCUAGAACAAUGGGUCCUCCACAUAUAAUUGUUAAAAGAAGGAAGGAAGCAGGGGGUUGGAAAGCCUUUCCUGGCAUUUUGAUGUGGAUGAUAAAGACUGAGAUUGGAACAGAAUAAUUUUUAGCAUCCUGGGACAUGUGGGCAGGACCCACCUCAAUCUCUAGUCUUUCAGGACACUGAGAGUUAAACCCACUAAUUCAAUAUCUUAGUCUGUCUCACUUCAUGGUUCCCAGGGCCCUUUCCCACAUGUUCUUUCAGUUCCUGCCAACAAUUCUGUGAAAUAGACGUUAUUACCCUUUUUUUAGGGAUGUGGAAACUGAAGCUGAGAGAAGUAGUCAAACCAGGCUGCUAGUCACAGCCAUUAGAGGAGCUGUUAAAAUGCAGACUCCCAAGCCCUAGCCUCAGGUCUACGGCAUCAGAACGUCAGGUUUGGGGAGAGGGGCAGGACUGGGGCUCUGAAUUUAUAAUAAUCACCGCCCCCCUGCAUAUUCUCAACACACCUCCACUCAGGAACCAUUAGGUCCCUGGGUGAUCACAGUGCUGGGAGCCCCACCUGACAUCCUCCUCUUGUGUCUCCCCAUUUACUUCCCAGUGUCCUGUCCCUCAACCCACCAUCAACUGUUCUCAUCUGGCAACUUUAUCUGGGCCAGAUUUUAAACCACCAUUCUGGGAACCAAGCCAGCAGAUAGAUUCCAGGAGCCUCUAUGGGGCAACCUAAGCCAGCCUACUUUGCCUCUCCCCGCAUAGUGCAAUGUGCAAGGUAUUUCAUUCAACUAUACUGAUGUCAAACUUAAUUUUAAAAUGGUGACCAAGAGGACCUGAUGGAUUUUAGAAUGGUAUCAUACAUGGCCAGGAAAUCAAACGGAGGUGGGUGAAGGAAGUCAACCAUUUCACAGAGGGCCUCUGGACAGUGCCCAGGGCCAAUCCACCUCCUCCUGUUAAAAGUUGGCAUGACACUGUAAAUUGGCUAUAAUUUAUAAAUAUAAAAUUACACAACUGGAGACUAAAAAAAAAGUGAACGGGAAUAACGGAGAAUGCAUCUGAACAAAUUACUCAGUGUGAUGGUCGUUCUCUAUAUUUACACUGAUGUGUUAUGUUAUUGGUAACUUCGCACUUCUGGUUUGAGGGCCAGUUAACAGUUCCACCUUUCCACAUGCGUGCUUCUCCUUCUCACUUCUAGGUUUUAGAAACAUGCAUAUAUGGUUAAGAAGACAGAUAAAGCAAAAGAUGAAAACACAGAGACAUUUCCUCAAAUAACAUGGAGGAUGAAAACACAAACAAACCGGGGCUAUAAAAUCUAGAAAACAUGAAGAGGGGGCCUGAUCUAUAAACGAUAUUUGGCCUGCUCGCAGAUUUUUACUCAAAAGAUGCCGAUCAUUAGUUGUCGGCAGAAACACACAAAGCAUUGUGAGUGAUGUACCUGCUGUGGCAGAAGAAAGGGGAAGAUCAAAGACCUGCUUUUGCAAAACCUGACUUGAUAUGUUAAUCAGCAAGAGAAUAACAGAAGUACGAGCAAGAUAUUAAAGAUAAUAUUAAAUGAAAACCCCUCAGAAUAUAGUCAAUAGAGUCCAAUUCCUCUACAAUACCGAGUAAUGGGUGAUUUAGAUCUACAGGAUUAAAGGGGGCCUAGUGGAAAACCAGAACAUUAGAGUACUUUUUGUCUGGGUAUGGUGGUAUACUCAGGCGAAAAAUGGCUGUUCUGGUCACUCAUGCUCCAUAAAGACCCUGGUACCUUCC
rnacentral:lncRNA from 1 species